UACGUAGGGUGCGAGCGUUAAUCGGAAUUACUGGGCGUAAAGCGUGCGCAGGCGGUCUGUUAAGACCGAUGUGAAAUCCCCGGGCUUAACCUGGGAACUGCAUUGGUGACUGGCAGGCUUUGAGUGUGGCAGAGGGGGGUAGAAUUCCACGUGUAGCAGUGAAAUGCGUAGAGAUGUGGAGGAAUACCGAUGGCGAAGGCAGCCCCCCUGGGCCAACACUGACGCUCAUGCACGAAAGCGUGGGGAGCAAACAGG
rnacentral:rRNA from 1 species